GUAGGGGGCGAGCGUUAUCCGGAUUUACUGGGCGUAAAGAGCGUGUAGGCGGCUUCCAAAGUUGGCAGUGAAAGGUCCUGGCUUAACUGGGAUAUGCCUGCCAAUACUGGGGAGCUAGAGGGCAGCAGAGGAAAGUGGAACUCGCGGUGUAGCGGUGAAAUGUGUAGAUAUCGCGAGGAACACCAGUGGCGAAGGCGGCUUUCUGGGCUGUUCCUGACGCUGAGACGCGAAAGCGUGGGGAGUGAAGCGGAUUAGAUACCCGCGUAAUCCACGCCCUAAACGGUGGAUACUAGGUAUGGGGGGUAUCGACCCUCUCCGUGCCGAAGCUAACGCCUUAAGUAUCCCGCCUGGGGACUACGGCCGCAAGGUUA
rnacentral:rRNA from 1 species